rnacentral:rRNA from 1 species
GACGAACGCUGGCGGCGUGCCUAAUACAUGCAAGUAGAACGCUGAAGAGAGGAGCUUGCUCUUCUUGGAUGAGUUGCGAACGGGUGAGUAACGCGUAGGUAACCUGCCUUGUAGCGGGGGAUAACUAUUGGAAACGAUAGCUAAUACCGCAUAACAAUGGAUGACACAUGUCAUUUAUUUGAAAGGGGCAAUUGCUCCACUACAAGAUGGACCUGCGUUGUAUUAGCUAGUAGGUGAGGUAAUGGCUCACCUAGGCGACGAUACAUAGCCGACCUGAGAGGGUGAUCGGCCACACUGGGACUGGGACACGGGCCAGACUCCUACGGGAGGCAGCAGGAGGGGAACUUCGGCAAUGGGGGGAACCCUGACCGAGCAGCGCCGCGGGGGGGAAGAAGGGUUUCGGAUCGUAAAGCUCUGUUGUAAGGGAAGAACGGGUGUGAGAGUGGAAAGUUCACACUGUGACGGUAGCUUAACAGAAAGGGACGGCUAACUACGUG